CCUUGGUGACCUCAGUGUAAAGAGUUUCUUGGUUGCUGGAGGGACUUGAACAACGAAAAUGAAAAAGUGGUCAGUCCUAAAACGGGAAAAUGGUAAAUACCAUCUGAACAGAGAAAACAACACAAAAUCAAGAAAGUGCCCAAAACAGUAACAAGGCUUUCCAGUGAAAAGAUGAACAGACCAUCUCCAAGCCCCAGAGAAGCCAUGAGACUGGACUGUGGCAGGUCACAAUUCAGUUCUUCCAGAUCUUAAAGUGUCGGCAGUGGCCAUGGUCUCCCAAGACCACAAAAUGAUCUCAGGAGAGCACCGUGUGCAAGCAUAUUCCUACAGCUACGACAAGAAAUGUGUGAUCAUGGGACCUCCAAGGAAAGGCCGACUCUCUCACCUGAAGUCAGAAGCAAGGACUGGACACUUGGUGCGAUGGCUGAACCCAGGAAAAGUCCAUGGGCUCCACAAUGUUUCAGGGCUAGGAAGUGAAUCGCACACCUGAGAAAUGCGACAAUCUAGCUGGCACAUGGGUUGCACUCGGGGAUUCCAACUUUCAGAUAACCUCGACUUCUGACAGCUUCUGUAGAGAUGCAAGGGUAGACCAGGAAACUACUCCAUUCCCUGCAUUCAAGGAGAUCUGCAUCUGUCUCCCCCAUACACUCCCCACUCGUGCAUUUUGUGCCAUUUAAUAAGAAUCACACUAUUUUUCUAACUAAUUUUGCCAAAGGGGGGGAAAAAAAGAAUCCAUCUUUAACUCCUUAUAUUGAUCUUCCCUUCUACCCACACAGAAAAAUCCGGAUCCAUGGACUCCAAAUUGCUUGCCACGCCCCAAAGAUGUAUCAAGUACACAGAAAGGUUCCAUUAAUUGAUCCACUCAUGACCCUCUAGCUAAAUGACUCAUGUAGUUGUCCUUUUCCUAGAGGUUUUAAGAAAGAACUGCAGUAAUAAACUGACGCCUAGAUUCUACCAUUCGGAGGUGUAAACCCAAAGCAGAGACUGUCAGAAAAAAAAGAAGGGGUUUGGAAGAAAUGGUCUCUGCAUCAGGGCUCCCCACAACAGCUCUAAGGAGAAGAACGGGUUUCUGAUUCACAUGGAAAAUAUAAAUCUGCAGAGCUUCUUGCAUUAGCAGGAAUGGGAAAUUGCUUCACUUCAUCAAUUUUGAAACUUAAACUUAAUUGCUUCUUUCCCUUAAUGCUCUCUUCCCACCCCCAGUCUCUUUAAACUUCAGAAGUCUAAGAGAAUCCUUGGUUACAGAGCCCUCGGCCGGCUCAGGACUUUUCAAAUUCCAAAACAAGUCCUAGCAGGCUGGAACUUUCU